GGAAAAAAAAAAAAAAAAAAAAAAAAAAAAAAAAAAAA
rnacentral:ribozyme from 13 species